AAAAUUCUAGAAUGUCCUGCAGCCCUAAUAUGAAGCCAGCAAGAUAACCCCAUGGCCCUGUGCCUCCAAGGAACUCAAAGGCAGGCUCCCAUGUAUUUCAAACCUUUGGAGUUUUAGCCUGGAUUUGGCCCACAGGCACCAAGCAGACCAGCAACUUUACAGAUGUCUUGGAAUAAGAUUUACAAUGACUUCAGCACUUCACUACCUGGCUUAUCUUGGCUCUUGCAGUCCUAAAUUCCAGAGCUACAUUGACAGAAAUCCAUGCAUAGCACAAAGAGGGAAUGCCCAAAGUUUGGGAGGGCUAGCAACAACACCAGCACAUUUAGCAGAGGCCAACAAGCAACUGCCUUCUAUGGGGUCGCACAGAGUCAGACAUGACUGAAGCGACUUAGCAGCAGCAGCAACAAGCAAAGAUUAGUGGGGACUGAUCCAUAAUGAAAGGCUUCUCCUGGGGAAGCCACCUGUCCCCCAUUCCCAAGAAGAUACAUGAGCCCCCUUCUACUCCACUGGCCUAGAGUCACCUUGGGAAGAACAGAGAAAAGAAGAGGAAAUCUGGGAGAGCAAUCAUUUACCCAGAAGAGACUUCUAGAAAUGGCUUGCAUUCUUUGACUCCUGGCUCCCUUUUCGCAUCUUCAAAGCCAGCAAUCUAGUAUCUCCUUGACCAUGUGUCCAUCAUCACUUCCCAUCCAACCUGGAAAUGUCCUCCACUUUUAUGAAUUCAUAUGAUUAAACUGGACCCACCUACCAUGUAAGGUAACAUAUGCAAAGAUUCUAGUCUACCAGGAUAAUAUUUAUUAUUAAGAGUAACACUUGCUAUAAAUUAUGCAUACUCUAAAUGCCUUAAUAACACCAUUAUUAUAAACAUUAAUGUGUAUAUUGCUUGAGUUUUGUGCUUUUUUUUUUGCUAGAGUACUUGUUUUUUGUC